CUUUCUUUACUAAGUUGACAGGACGAGCUGCUUCACGUCUGUGAUCCUCCCGCACUGCCCUCUGGGAAGGUGGGAGGGGCACGCUGUGCGUAUGCGGAUUAUUUGAUUUGUAAGCUUCCACAACAAGCAUCUCUUCCCAGCCUUAUAUCCUCAGAAACAUGAUGUUUGAGAAGAUGAGACAGGAGACAGUAUCAUAUAUGAACACGAUCUACAGGCAUCCAGCUGUUGUGUUCUGCUUCGUUGGAAUGGAUGUGAUUCACAGAACCGUAACUACGGGACCUGGGAGAACCAGUCAGAGUUGAUGGGACGAUGACGAUGCUUCAGCGCAGAGUUCACAUGGUCAAGCAGCUCCCCAGAUCCUCAACCUUCAGCCACAUGAGCCAGCUUUCCUGAAACUGACUUAUCCACUGGGAAGCCAGCAUCACUGUUGGGACUUGACAGUGAAACAAGUCCCUUUAUGGACAGCACUCUACACAGGGCUCAGAAUCUGGCAGAUCUCUUCUAGUAGGUGCUUGUUCAUUUCAAUGCUCUGGACCUGUUACCUAAGUGCUGGCUCCCUAGGUGUACCUGGACUCCAGCGUUUGCGGACAUGGCUCUUUGCUCAUCAUUCCUUUCUCCUUACCUGCAAAGAACUGCUUGGAUCUGUAUCAGAGUUGGAGUUACUCCUUCUCUGUAACUCAGUUCCUUUCUAAGUGGAUCACUCACCUACCAGUUCUUGAAGGCAUUAGGUCUCCUUCAGAGGAUAUGAUCAUUCCAACGAAGUAUAGGAACAGCCGCUGCUUCCCAAAUGGCGGCCCACGCCAGACUCCUUUUAAUUAGCAGGUAGUUUGCAGGUAUAAUUGCCCAGUAAUUGCUUGAACUCAUGUAGUGACAAGAUGUGUUUAUAAGUCACUGGCUGUGCAGUAAAUGCCCCACUACUCCAACUCCUCUGAGGCUGCAUUAGCUUGGGUUGCAGAGACUCCAAUGCCCCCUAUCUUAGCAGGGACCUUGACAUGCUUACUGCAAUGUGCCCUGUAAGAACACUUCUCCAUGGGCUCUUGAUGGGGGCGACAAUUUAAUAACAGGUGAAACUUGCAUACUUUUCUUCCAACCCAAGUGAGAAGCUUUACUUCAGCAGCUGUGUGCAAGUGUCCAAUAACAUCCUGAUGCUGAUUCCUUGACUUCUUGGGGGUGCAGGAAGAGUAGACCCAAUCAUGGAGAAAGAAGGGGGCCUAUGUUGAGCAGGCAGUACCCCAGCUUGUGCUUCUCUGAUGUCAGCAUGACUACAUAUCGGGUGGAGACUUUAUUAGGAUGUAUCACUAGGUCUAGACAUAAGGGAGUCAUUAAGUAAUGAAUAGUCAGGUUGAAACACAUUAUAAUUUUUCACUUUUUACUCAUUUGAGUAUGAAGCAUGACUGUUAGAAGAACAAUGUCCUUCUGGUGAUGAUUUUUCCCCUGGAGUGGAAGCUAUUGGCUAUGGAGGCACCAGGGGGAAAAAAAAGAGGU